AUGUCCCUUUUCCGAAGUGAAAGUAGAAACUCGUGAGUGGUGAUUUGGAUAUUUUGAACUGGUUUAAGUCUUUAAAUCAACUAGAAUUUUACAUUUCAUACUUAAGUGUUUGUCGGAGACCGUUAUGCUCUCGAUAUGUAGCUUUCAAGGAUAAUGUAUCAGUGGAUUUACGCUGCGAUCGUGAUUACAACAGGGAGAACUUGUAUGCAAAAACUUCUGAGAAAAAUUAACCGAAAAAGAAACGCACAGGUGGCAUUAAAUGUGUCCAAUGCUGUUGUCAUAACAAUUCAGAUCCCUCUGACAGUCAGGGGUGCAGAUUCAAGAUUGGAUGUUCUAAAUGAAAUUAAGACAGAAAUAUUUUCUGUGAGGAAUGUAUAAUACUCAGCAUCAUCAUUAUGACAACACUGUUGUGGGUCAUUAAAAUUUAAGUGGAUCCAACAUGGCUGGAACUUGUUUAAAGAUUGUUCAGCUGGAAUGUGUCCACUGAGAAAAUCACAGAGGCUGAAACUGUUGGAGAAUAUUUGAUGACCUGUUUUUGAAUUUCUCAUCCCUUUCAUGGAAGGAACUGUACUCAACUGAACAAUGCAACUGUACAUGUCCAUAGUUUACAGAAAAAUACUGAUAUGUAUGCAAAAACAAAUAAUAGUGUGUUAGUCAUUAUUUACAAACUCAUUUUUAGAUAAAGCUUGAACAUAUAAUUGAAGAUUGUUUAAUUUAUUUUCUGCACUGACUGAGAGCUUCACAGACUGCAAUUUAAAAUGUACAAUUUUAAUCUAAUAGAAAACAAUCAGGAUAAGUCUGACAGAAACAGGACAACUUUAAAUUCAUAUUCUUAAUAUAACCAAGAUGGACACAAAAUUUGGAAAAGAAUGCAUACCCAAUCAUUAAUAUACUACAGUUACAUGUAGCUGCUACAGUUCCUAUUUAAUGUUUCCAUGGAGACAAAACAGUCAGAUUACCAACAUUUUCAUAACAGGACUUUUGGACUAGCUAUCUCUGGUCAAAACUGACUUAACUGAGUAUAAGUAGGUAAAAUACUUGUAGUUUAAAAUGAAGAUGAAAAGAAAUCUAAAUCGCCAACAUAAUGUUUCCAUGGAAGUAGGUUUCUAUAGCAACUAAACUACAAAUUGAAUUCCUUCUUAGUUAGUACAUGUAUAUCUUAACCAACCUAUGAAUUAAUACAAAGAGAAAGUUAUGAUAUUAUAGAAUAAAUCUACUGAAGUACAUGUACAUUAAAUUGUUUUCAAUGAUUAUGGUUGCUAUCGUUUCCAUACUAACACAUUUUCUUCAUAUUUUCCCCUUUGUAAUAAUUAAAUUCAAAUGAUUAAACAGAGUCAUAUAAUGCUUUUCCAGGAAAUACCUAGAGAUAAAUGUAAUUUUAUCUUGUGAAAAGUAAAAAUUCUAUUCAAUACAAAGUAAUGCAAACACAUUGAAAAAAAAAUGAUUUUCAUUUUAAAUGUUAUUAUCUUCUACCAAUGCUUUUUGACUUGAAGAUUUUUUUAAAUGUUUGCUACACCAACUAAUCCAACUUAUGACUAAUCCACGGAAAUUAUGAAAUUUGUACUUUAUAACAAUUAUUAAGAUUAUGACAGAACACUUUCACUUAAUAAUAGGCACACACGUUUCUGCUUCCUGACACAAAUCAGUUUUAUAGUCAGCACUUUUCUUCAAAACUUAAAGGAACCAUAUACAUGUAUCUUAUAAUGGUUGCUAUGGUAACAAAAGAAUUAAUAAUUUAUAUUGCUAAUUUAAGCAGACUUUUACAUCAAUUUAUAUGUUCAAAUAUAAUAUGACAAUGAGUUUACACUACCACAUGGUAAUAAACAGACCUGUAAUGCUUUCUGAUACAAAUUAGCAUACUAGUUUACUUAUUAAAACCUUGUUAUAAAAUACUGAAAUAUGGUUGUUAUGGCAACUAAAAUAUUUCACAACAUGAGAAUUCAUGAUAUUUAUCAUUGUUUAUGCCAAAUUUAAUAGAUUAAGGAUAUUAUAUUGAUAAAUUAUUAGAAUUUGACUCAUAUAUUCAUAUUAUGAGAUUUUUCAUAUUACCAUGGCAACCAAUUUUUCAAGCUAUAUAAUUUUAUUUAGCAAAAUAAGACAUUGGUCGUUUUUUUUUCUUUUAUAUUUUACACAUAAUGGGAUGAAUUAAAUCAUAAUAACUUUCA